UACCAGCACCCCCGAGUGGUCGGGACGAUUAUUGGGCCUAAAGCAUCCGUAGCCGGCCUUACAAGUCCUCCGUUAAAUCCAGCUGCUUAACAGAUGGGCUGCGGAGGAUACUAUAAGACUAGGAGGCAGGAGAGGCAAGCGGUACUCAGUGGGUGGGGGUAAAAUCCGUUGAUCCAUUGAAGACCACCAGUGGCGAAGGCGGCUUGCCAGAAUGCGCUCGACGGUGAGGGAUGAAAGCUGGGGGAGCAAACCGG
rnacentral:rRNA from 1 species